UUAAUAACUGCUUUUGAGAAAAAUAACUAAUUGCUGAAAGUCAACAGCUAAAGAGGAGAAUGUACCUUUGUUUUAAUCAUUUCUGGAUAAGUGACUGUAUAUAUAUAUUAAGAUUAAUCAUGCUGUGUGUAAUCAACAGCAGCAGCUAAAUAAUUGAAGCUUUGAUCUUGUUAGUGGCUUCAGCAGAAGAAAGGACAGACAGGAUCCGUGUGGGAGUGCCAGAGCUCCCUGGGACACCAGGAGGAGGUGCAGGAGGCUGCAGCCCCACUCCAGUUGGCCCCUCUUGGAGAGAACUCGAUCUCUGGUGUUGGGAACAGCAGCAGUCUCACUAGCUCCUUUUGCUUUUCAUUCUGAUCAGAUGUAUGCCAAAAGGAGUGGCAUCAGAGGCUGUGCAUGGCACACGAGCUGUCACCACCCUCCAGUGACAAGGAAGCGAGGGGGAACACCCAUCCAUGUCACUUGGUGGUCCAGUUGUCUCCAUGGGCUCCAGCUGAGAUUUCAGUCAACUCUGGAGUUGCUUGACAGCUGUGCUAAGGGCUGUACACUCAUCAUAAGACAAGUGGUCUUCCCUGCAAUGGAAGGAGAGAGAAACAAGAGCUGGAUGUGAAGAACAAUUAGCAAUGACCUGGGAUAAAAGAGUUUAUUACAGCUGGGGAUGCGCCAGUCUGAGGAGAGAGGAAGGGGAGGCAGGAGGAUGUGCUUCUGUUCACCAGCCCAUCCUUCAGUAGAAGGACUGCAGACCUACUGGUGCUGACAGCAGAUGGCUCAGAAUAUGCUCCCAGGAGAGUGGGAAGUAGAAGGAGAGAUGGGAUAAUUGGGUUCACGCCGUUGGCCCUGGACUCCAGAGCUGUUACAGGCUGUGGAACGGCGCAGAGGAAAUGGUCGACCGCGAUGGAUGUGCGGCAGUAAGGAGUGGUUUGAAGGGAGCUAAAAAUACGUGUUGCAUUCAGUGAGAAGCCCCCCAUAAGCCAUCAGCACAAUAUUUUGUAAAUCUUGCCUUCUGAAUGAGAACAGAAACUGGGGCGUGUUGCUUUACUUCAAACAAAGGGUUGGCGUGAUUCAGGGGGGUAAGAUGUGAUCAUCCACUGGGGAAUGAAAAAAAUUUAAUGAAGUGGACUCUAAAGAUAAUAUUUUUAUGAUGAUGUACUUGUGAUCCCAGGACAGCCAUGCAUGGAAGGAUGAGACCUCCCAGCAACUUGGAACCGGGCUUUAUGGGCACCUGCACACAGUUCUGGGUGUUAAACAAGGACACAGGGACUGAAAUCACUGCAUCAAACCCAGAGAUAUGCUGUAUUUGAAGAGUGAAAAGAAAUAUAGUGAUUUAUGGACUAGCCAAUCUACAGGCUCGCUGAUCAACAAAAUGGGACCUUUAAAGCAUACAGAGAUAGACAAUGGUCUUGUUAGUAGUUCUGUGGAAAAAGAGAAUUGAGACACCAGCAUUUGCAGAAUCCCACAGUGAAACAAACCCUCCAUAGACUGUGGCACCGUGUCCCUCAUGGCAGCCCCUGGAGCCCACAUGGAGAAACCCCGGAGCAGCUGCCAGUCAUGAACAGCCGGGGAAAACUUCCCCAUCCCACAGCUCCUGGAGCCCCUCAGCAGCCCAGCCUGGCAGGGACAGUGGGAACAGUGCCCACACUGGA